rnacentral:misc_RNA from 1 species
GCAGGCUUAUCCUUGCACGAUGACAGUGAAGCCUCUUUAUUCGCUGCUACCACUGGCAAUGAAUAUUUGUUGAACAAUCAGCAGGAUUCAAAUCUAAAUCACUUUAAUGGCAGUCAAUUUUCUGACAAGUUCAGGUUCUCAACAGCUUCUUACGGAGAAGAUCCAUCUUCAGCCAGUCUUUUCCAAAUUUCAAAUAAAUCUUGGCAGAAGCCAGUUCUUAACAGUAAUCUACCGGUUGGCAACGAGCGGCACCUUCCCUAUCAUGGAAAUUCUGGGAGGGGGUUAGCCAUGGAUGUCUUGAGUGAGCAAACAACUAUGGAUGAAAGUGAUACUCUGAACCCUGUUGACUUUUUGGCUUUACAAUUCCCUGGUUUUGC